AGCAUUGAGGAUCCAAAAUUCCAAAAAGUUGUGCCAAAUACGGGUAAGGGAAUCUAUGCGAGGGAUAAGAAAAUCCUUAGGUUUUUGAAAAAUCCAAUGUCUUGUAAACAAUAAAUUUAUAAAAAAUGACCAAAUUAUUGAUAUUCAUGUCAACACCGAAGUGUUGACUACUGGGCUGCUGAUACCCUCGGUGACGAAACGUUCACGAGCAGUGGCAUCGACCCAGUGGUGUAAAUAGUUAUCAAAGGUACCA
rnacentral:lncRNA from 1 species